GUAUGUCUGACAUUGUGCAUCACACUACAGUGCAGGUGUAUGUCAUUAUAUAACUGACAGACCGCAGCCCCAGCAACUGCUCAAGAGCUCAGGAGCAGGUCACAUGACCAGUCAGGUGGUGAGGCCAGUCACAGUUGGGAGAGGUAGUUGAUGGAGAGCUCGCUGAGGGGACAGAGAGAGGUGCGCUGGUGCUGCGUACUCGGUGCGGCAUUAACAGCUGUGGUAACCGCUCCGUACCUGCAUCUGAUGACAAAGUUAAGCUGAAUUCCCCCGAACAGACUCCGGUGUGUCCCGCUGAGCUUGGAGAGUGAGUCCAGUGUGGAGAUCCUUAUCCGCGCUCCAGAGAAGAUGUCAUCGCUGAUGGGAGCGGUAGCGGAUCCCUCCCUCUGACUGCCUGCUGUAAGAUACUUCUAGCGGGAACGCCUUCAGGAAAGUGUCUUGGAGGUGACUGACAUUGAUAGAUGGAGACUCCGCCCGACAGUGAGCAAUUGUUCCUGUGUAUUGUGAAAAGCAAACCAUCUUUGAACCAUAUUAAUAAAUAAAUUGAGUUGUUGACGAAAACCAGUGACUGUUUAUCCUGAGUAAAUUGACAAUACUCAGCUCUCUGCGAAGACAAGAGAAGACCUCCAAGUACAAGGAAGAGAAAAUGGAAAAAUGGAGAAGGUGACACCAUCUAAGAUUGAUGUAGUUAUCUGCACAAACAGAGAGAUUCAGGAGGUAACUGAAGAUGAGGAGAGAAUUGGGUGCCAGCUACAACCAAGACCUUUUCUAGCGGCAGGCGAGCCACCACAGGGACUUACUACUACUUAGCCAAUGGGCAGCCAUAGAGACAGUGCCAGCAGCAUUUCAAAUGUGGCAUUGGCCAAUCGGAGCUCACGGACCAACAGCCAAUCAGGAGUGUCCUGAUUGGCUGCCGGACUGUGAGUUCCAAUUGGCUGGUGGCCAGCAUCACAUCUUAAAUGCCUCUGGCGCUGUCUCUAUGGCUGCCCACCUAAGAAGAAAUUAGUCCCAGCGGUGGCAGUGAAAUACCACUGGCGUUGUCUGAAACCCUGCAAAUGCAGUAGCAUAUAACAAGUGUGAGGAGGCUGCUGCGGUGGUGGCUACAAUCACUCUCUAUCUGGGUGCCUGCUGCUGGGGGUUUCCAUGCCAGGGCUACUCAGCCGGGGACCAGUGACAGGGACACCUCUUCCAAAUGAAAUGCGAGAGGGGCUCUGUCUCGCCCAGAUAGUACUGCCCAGUUACCAUCUGUCUGUGAAAGACCUAGAGGAGAUAAUGGCGGUAAGAUGCCCCUGAUGUGGAUUCUUUUUUUUUUUUUCAAUGAUAGUUGUU